AGUGCCGGUCCAGCCCAUAGGUUGGGUCGUGACAUUAACAAAUGAAGUAGCGUAUUCCGUGAAUGUCAAUCGCAGGGGAAGGUUGCUGUGGCUCCAGCUCCUGUCUGAACACCACUGUAAAGCUUGAGGUCACUGGUUCCAAUGGGCAGGGCAUGACAUCCUUAUGAGAUUGCACCUUCUUACGUCUUCCUGGUGUCCAACAAGUGUCCCUCCUACUUCUUUGCUCACUGGCCAAGUUCUGCAUCCUCUCAGGCAAUAAAAAAAAGUUCUGCAUCCCAACGGUGUAUGUAUUUGAAUUCAGCUUUGAACUCAUACUAACUAUUUUUCAGUUACUCUUGAACAUUUGGUCCUAUUUAUACUGCAUGAGGAAUGAUAUCAAUGGUUGAUCCUGCUUGUUACUCAUCUUCUUCGAUCCGCUAGAUACACCGUUCAAUUAGAAAGGGAAAGAAGAGUCUUGAUUGAGUUUUAGAAGUGCCAAUGAUUUUCUAGAUUUUAUUAUAAUCUAUAAUGCGUUCGUGUGACUGCACUCCGGUUAACCACGCAAUUACCUAAGCAUGCAUAUAUUAUCUUGCGCCCUCUAAGGCUUUAUUUACUU
rnacentral:misc_RNA from 1 species